rnacentral:misc_RNA from 1 species
GUCAGUAUAGUCAAUGCCUUCUAGCUGGUUAAAGCCUUUUGCGACAAGACGUCCUUUAUAUCGGUCCACACUACCAUCUUGAUUAUAUUUGAUUCUGAAAACCCAUUUAGAUGCGAUGGGUUUUUUAUGUGUGGGAUGAGGAACCAUGUCCCAUGUUUGAUUGAGCUCUAAUGCAUCAAGUUCUUGUUGCAUGGCUUGAGUCCAGUUUGGAUCUAUU